rnacentral:rRNA from 1 species
GACGAACGCUGGCGGCGUGCUUAACACAUGCAAGUCGAACGAUGAAGCUCCAGCUUGCUGGGGUGGAUUAGUGGCGAACGGGUGAGUAAUACGUGAGUAACCUGCCCUUGACUCUGGGAUAAGCCUGGGAAACUGGGUCUAAUACUGGAUACUACACAUUCUCGCAUGGGGGUGUGUGGAAAGGGUUUUACUGGUUUUGGAUGGGCUCACGGCCUAUCAGCUUGUUGGUGGGGUAAUGGCCUACCAAGGCGACGACGGGUAGCCGGCCUGAGAGGGUGACCGGCCACACUGGGACUGAGACACGGCCCAGACUCCUACGGGAGGCAGCAGUGGGGAAUAUUGCACAAUGGGCGAAAGCCUGAUGCAGCGACGCCGCGUGAGGGAUGACGGCCUUCGGGUUGUAAACCUCUUUCAGCACGGAAGAAGCGAAAGUGACGGUACGG